AUGGAGGUGGAGCCGCCGGGGCCGCUGCGGUAUCUGAUUGGGGCGGCGAUCAUGAUGGUCGGCGUGGUACUUCCGCUCGGGUACAUGAUGUUCCGCAUCAAGCGCGUCCCCUCGUCCGCUUCGACCUACUCCAAACAGACGUCUAAAGGGCUGAUCUAGGGAUCGUUCACAGCUCCUCUGCUGCCAUCUCUUUACGGUGGUGGAGAAAUUACUGGAGGGUACACCGUUAAUGAUUUUUGAUAUAUCUUUUUUCUUGGGCCGUGUAUUUAAAAGCUUUAGUUUAGCUUGUAUUUGAUUUUGGUUAUAGGAAUUGCUUCUGUGGAAUGUCUGCUCAUCAUGUGCCUGGUUCCAUUGGCUACAAUUGUCAUUAUUAAAAUGUUUGCUUGUUACUUGCUUUGGUUCGAGCAAUAAUUAAUACUUAGGCUGUUAUUGAUUGGCUUUA